rnacentral:rRNA from 1 species
AUUGAACGCUGGCGGCAGGCCUAACACAUGCAAGUCGAGCGAGCGGCGGACGGGUGAGUAAUGUCUGGGAAACUGCCUGAUGGAGGGGGAUACCUACUGGAAACGGUAGCUAAUACCGCAUACCAUCAGAUGUACCCAGAUGGGAUUAGCUAGUAGGUGGGGUAACGGCUCACCUAGGCGACGAUCCCUAGCUGGGCUGAGAGGAUGACCAGCCACUCUGGAACAGAGACACGGUCCAGACUCCUACGGGAGGGAGCAGUGGGGAAUAUUGCGAAAUGGGCGCAAGCGUGAUGUAGCCAUGCCGCGUGUGUGAAGAAGGCCUUCGGGUUGUAAUGCACUUUCAGCGGGGAGGCGUUACCCGCAGAAGAAGCGCCGGCUAACUCCGUGCCAGCAGCCGCGGUAAUUC